rnacentral:rRNA from 1 species
UACAGAGGGUGCGAGCGUUGUCCGGAAUCACUGGGCGUAAAGGGUGCGUAGGCGGACCUGUAAGUCAGUGGUGAAAUCUCUCAGCUUAACUGAGAAACUGCCAUUGAUACUGCAAGUCUAGAGUAUAGAUGACGUUGGCGGAAUAUGACAUGUAGUGGUGAAAUACUUAGAUAUGUCAUAGAACACCGAUUGCGAAGGCAGCUAACGAAACUAUAACUGACGCUGAGGCACGAAAGUGCGGGGAUCAAACAGG